UACGUGAAACCGUUCAGGGGUAAACGGGUGGAACCUAGAAUGUCGAACGGAGGGACUCAGGCCCGAGUACGUUGGCGGCCCCACCGGGCACGAUCGAUGCGAGGAUUUGGUUCGGAGCCGCAAGGUUUUCCGUCCACUUACCGAACUCGGUCUCCGGUGUAUAUGUGGCGUCGCUCGACUCGGUCUGCACUUCGCUCCUUGUAGGCCGUCGCGACCGAUUGGGUGGCGAUCUAUGGCCGCGGGACUUGGCGACGGAAAUGCGGGGUCGGAUUCCUUUCGGGGAGUUCACUUCGUUCCGUCCGUCUCUGCGUGAUUCCUGGUCGCCUCGCCCGGUCGAAUGAAAUUGGCGGGGUCUCGCUUAUGGCGAGGUCUUAAGCGUCGAUGUCGAGCGUGAGGUUUUUGCUCUCGGUCGGAUGGCUCUUACGAGUCCGUUCGCCGGGGCCCUCCGUUGUCGGACGUCGAUUGCUCGGCCGCAAACAAAUGCCCCGCCAUUCUCUGCGGCGUUACUUCUGUCGGUGGUCCACCCGACCCGUCUUGAAACACGGACCAAGGAGUCUAACAUGUGCGCGAGUCGUAGGGUCUCUACACGAAACCCGAAGGCGCAAUGAAAGUGAAGGCCGUUCUUGUCGACGGCAGGGAUCGAAUUUUUAUAAUUCUUUCUCCAUUGAGGGGAGAUCUUCCGUUUCACAACAGGGCGGAAGCGCAUCCCCGGGACGUCUCGUACUCGCAUCGCGGGCUUCGUGCUCGCGUUCGAGUGAGGCGUACCUAGAGCGCACACGUUGGGACCCGAAAGAUGGUGAACUAUGCCUGGCUAGGACGAAGCCAGGGGAAACUCUGGUGGAGGUCCGAAGCGAUUCUGACGUGCAAAUCGAUCGUCAAAACUGGGUAUAGGGGCSAAAGAUAAUCGA
rnacentral:rRNA from 1 species